CUAAACUACACAAGAUAUACCCAACAGUGUCUCCCCUAUGCUGGAGAUGUGGAGUGGAGACAGGCACAAUGAAGCACAUUUGGUGGGCCUGCACUGGCAUGACACCUCUAUGGGAAGAUGUCCGCGCACUGGCGGCACAGUUGGGGCUUCCAGACUUCUCCCCAACCAUUUCCAGCUGCAUACUAUUCCUACCAGAUGCUAGGGUACAGCCGACCCAACGACAAC